CCUCCGGCGACCCAAAACCCUAGAUCGCCACAAACCACCGUCGGAAAUCCUCUUUGACAUACUAAAAUUGUUCAUCGCUAUUGGUAAUCAACGUCAAACAAUCUCCCCGCCGUCAUCUUCAUCUUCCUUGGAUCUAUUUUUUCCGAUUCGUCUUGUUAAUCGCCGCCGGAAUUCAAUUUCAGUUAAUCUCGCCGCCGUGAAUCAGUAACUGAUUUCGUUUUCUUAAUCAAUGGAGGAAGACGAUGUGAUAAGCGAUGAGGAAAUCGAACAAAUAAUAAAAGAUUUCUGCUUGCUGAUCUAAUGGCUUGGAUACAUAGCUCUCGCAGUCAAAUUUUGUUGUCCACUUACCUUAUGCUGAACGAUCACAAAAAGGGUGUACUAUUUUAGUUGCACAUAACUGCAGGUUGCACCAUACAAAAUGAUAUUUAUAUUAUCUGUAUUCUAUAUGUGAUAACAGAACACAGUUCAUUACAAUAACUGUGCAAUUAAAGGAGGAUGUGAAGUUGGGAUAAAUUAGGAAUUUAGGAAGGAUACAUCGCUCUAAAUGGCAUCGUUUACUUCAUUCUAUGGAAUCAAAUGCUAUUCAUUAUAUCAAAUGCUAUUCAUUAUUUCUGGUGAAGAGGCUGGACUGUGGGCUGCUGACCUUGUAGGCAUCUUGAUUAUGCUAACAUAUGAAAUCCAAAGGAGAAAGACGAUCUGCAACAACUGUGGAGGUACAAAACACAAUGCAAGGACGUGCGGUAUAGAAAAAGGUAAAAAGAAACAAAGCACUUCAACCGAGGCUGCUGAGAAACAGGACGCUUCAAAUGAGGCUGCUGUCAAGAACGCAUGAUGGAUUUUUCUAUUUUCUUAAUGUUUUCAUUUUUCAAUAAUUAUCCGCUCGAUUAGUUGUCGUUGAAGAGAUUGUAUUUUGAAAAUUUUAAGACAUUUAUAUGAUCA